rnacentral:rRNA from 1 species
GAUCAUGAUAACUAGUCGAAUCGACAGGCCUUGUGCCGGCGAUGGCUCAUUCAAAUUUCUUCCCUAUCAACUUUCGAUGUUUGGGUCUUGUCCAAACAUGGUGGCAACGGGUAACGGAGGGUUAGGGCUCGACCCCGGAGAAGGAGCCUGAGAAACGGCUACUACAUCCAAGGAAGGCAGCAGGCGCGCAAAUUACCCAAUCCCGACACGGGGAGGUAGUGACAAUAAAUACUGAUACAGGGCUCUUUUGGGUCUUGUAAUCGGAAUGAGUACAAUUUAGAUCCCUUAACGAGGAACAAUUGGAGGGCAAGUCUGGUGCCAGCAGCCGCGGUAAUUCCAGCUCCAAUAGCGUAUAUUAAAGUUGUUGUGGUUAAAAAGCUCGUAGUUGAACCUUGGGCCUGGCUGGCCGGUCCGCCUCACCGCGUGCACUGGUCCGGCCGGGCCUUUCCCUCUGCGGAACCCCAUGCCCUUCACUGGGUGUGGCGGGGAACCAGGACUUUUAC